rnacentral:rRNA from 1 species
GAUGAACGCUGGCGGCGUGCCUAAUACAUGCAAGUCGAGCGAACGGACGAGAAGCUUGCUUCUCUGAUGUUAGCGGCGGACGGGUGAGUAACACGUGGAUAACCUACCUAUAUGACUUGGAUAACUUCGUGAAACCUUAUCUAAUACCGGAUAAUAUUUUGAACCGCAUGGUUCAAAAUUGAAAUACGGUCUUGCUGUCACUUAUAGAUUGAUCCGCGCUGCAUUAGCUAGUUGGUAAGGUAACGGCUUACCAAGGCAACGAUGCAUAGCCGACCUGAGAGGGUGAUCGGCCACACUGGAACUGAGACACGGACAAGACUCAUACGGGAGGCAGCAGUAGGGAAUAUUCUGCAAUGGGCGAAAGCAUGACGGAGCAACGCCGCGUGAGUGAUGAAGGUCUUGGGAUCGUAAAACUCUGUUAUUAGGGAAGAACAUAUGUGUAAGUAACUGUGCACAGAUUGACGGUAACUAAUCAGAAAGCCACGGCUAACUACGUG